AGAGUUUGAUCCUGGCUCAGAACGAACGCUGGCGGCAGCGUUAACACAUGCAAGUCGAGCGCCCCGCAAGGGGAGCGGCAGACGGGUGAGUAACGCGUGGGAACGUACCUUUUGCUACGGAAUAACUCAGGGAAACUUGUGCUAAUACCGUAUGUGUCCUUCGGGGGAAAGAUUUAUCGGCAAAGGAUCGGCCCGCGUUGGAUUAGCUAGUUGGUGAGGUAAAGGCUCACCAAGGCGACGAUCCAUAGCUGGUCUGAGAGGAUGAUCAGCCACACUGGGACUGAGACACGGCCCAGACUCCUACGGGAGGCAGCAGUGGGGAAUAUUGGACAAUGGGCGCACAUGAUCCAGCCAUGCCGCGUGAGUGAUGAAGGCCCUAGGGUUGUAAAGCUCUUUCACCGGUGAAGAUAAUGACGGUAACCGGAGAAGAAGCCCCGGCUAACUUCGUGCCAGCAGCCGCGUAAUACGAAGGGGGCUAGCGUUGUUCGGAUUUACUGGGCGUAAAGCGCACGUAGGCGGACUUUUAAGUCAGGGGUGAAAUCCCGGGGCUCAACCCCGGAACUGCCUUUGAUACUGGAAGUCUUGAGUAUGGUAGAGGUGAGUGGAAUUCCGAGUGUAGAGGUGAAAUUCGUAGAUAUUCGGAGGAACACCAGUGGCGAAGCGGGCUCACUGGACCAUUACU
rnacentral:rRNA from 2 species